AACGAACGCUGGCGGCAGGCUUAACACAUGCAAGUCGAACGCCCCGCAAGGGGAGUGGCAGACGGGUGAGUAACGCGUGGGAAUCUACCCAGAUCUUCGGAACAACUGAGGGAAACUUCAGCUAAUACCGGAUACGCCCUACGGGGGAAAGAUUUAUCGGUUCUGGAUGAGCCCGCGUUGGAUUAGCUAGUUGGUGAGGUAACGGCUCACCAAGGCGACGAUCCAUAGCUGGUCUGAGAGGAUGAUCAGCCACACUGGGACUGAGACACGGCCCAGACUCCUACGGGAGGCAGCAGUGGGGAAUAUUGGACAAUGGGCGAAAGCCUGAUCCAGCCACGCCGCGUGAGUGAUGAAGGCCUUAGGGUUGUAAAGCUCUUUCAGUAGGGAAGAUAAUGACGGUACCUACAGAAGAAGCCCCGGCUAACUUCGUGCCAGCAGCCGCCGUAAGAC
rnacentral:rRNA from 1 species